CGCGUUGGCCCAUUGAUUGACGGUGCUUGCACCUGAUUGAUUUUGGUCGCCAACGAGUGGCGGACGGGUGAGUAACACGUAGGUAACCUGCCCAGAAGCGGGGGACAACAUUUGGAAACAGAUGCUAAUACCGCAUAACAGCGUUGUUCGCAUGAACAACGCUUAAAAGAUGGCUUCUCGCUAUCACUUCUGGAUGGACCUGCGGUGCAUUAGCUUGUUGGUGGGGUAACGGCCUACCAAGGCGAUGAUGCAUAGCCGAGUUGAGAGACUGAUCGGCCACAAUGGGACUGAGACACGGCCCAUACUCCUACGGGAGGCAGCAGUAGGGAAUCUUUCCACAAUGGGGCGCAAGCCCUGAUGGAGCCAACACCGGCGUGAGUGAAGAAAGGGUUUCGGCUCGUAAAGCUCUGUUGUUAAAGAAGAACACGUAUGAGAGUAACUGUUCAUACGUUGACGGUAUUUAACCAGAAAGUCACGGCUAACUACGUGCCAGCAGCCGCGGUAAUACGUAGGUGGCAAGCGUUAUCCGGAUUUAUUGGGCGUAAAGAGAGUGCAGGCGGUUUUCUAAGUCUGAUGUGAAAGCCUUCGGCUUAACCGGAGAAGUGCAUCGGAAACUGGAUAACUUGAGUGCAGAAGAGGGUAGUGGAACUCCAUGUGUAGCGGUGGAAUGCGUAGAUAUAUGGAAGAACACCAGUGGCGAAGGCGGCUACCUGGUCUGCAACUGACGCUGAGACUCGAAAGCAUGGGUAGCGAACAGGAUUAGAUACCCUGGUAGUCCAUGCCGUAAACGAUGAGUGCUAGGUGUUGGAGGGUUUCCGCCCUUCAGUGCCGGAGCUAACGCAUUAAGCACUCCGCCUGGGGAGUACGACCGCAAGGUUGAAACUCAAAGGAAUUGACGGGGGCCCGCACAAGCGGUGGAGCAUGUGGUUUAAUUCGAAGCUACGCGAAGAACCUUACCAGGUCUUGACAUCUUGCGCCAACCCUAGAGAUAGGGCGUUUUCCUUCGGGAACGCAAUGACAGGGUGGUGCAUGGUCGUCGUCAGCUCGUGUCGUGAGAUGUUGGGUUAAGUCCCGCAACGAGCGCAACCCUUGUUACUAGUUGCCAGCAUUAAGUUGGGCACUCUAGUGAGACUGCCGGUGACAAACCGGAGGAAGGUGGGGACGACGUCAGAUCAUCAUGCCCCUUAUGACCUGGGCUACACACGUGCUACAAUGGACGGUACAACGAGUCGCGAACUCGCGAGGGCAAGCAAAUCUCUUAAAACCGUUCUCAGUUCGGACUGCAGGCUGCAACUCGCCUGCACGAAGUCGGAAUCGCUAGUAAUCGCGGAUCAGCAUGCCGCGGUGAAUACGUUCCCGGGCCUUGUACACACCGCCCGUCACACCAUGAGAGUUUGAACACCCAAAGUCGGUGGGGAACCUUUAGAG
rnacentral:rRNA from 1 species